GAGAGAUCCGGCAUAGGAUGGACAUGCGUCGCAUUAGGUAGACGGCGGGGUAACGGCCCACCGUGCCGACGAUGCGUAGGGGUUCUGAGAGGAAGGCCCCCCACACUGGUACUGAGACACGGACCAGACUCCUACGGGAGGCAGCAGUGAGGAAUAUUGGUCAAUGGCCGAGAGGCUGAACCAGCCAAGUCGCGUGAGGGAAGAAUGUCCUAAGGAUUGUAAACCUCUUUUGUCGGGGAGCAAAAAGGCUCUGCGGAGUCGUAUUGAGAGUACCCGAAGAAAAAGCAUCGGCUAACUCCGUGCCAGCAGCCGCGGUAAUACGGAGGAUGCGAGCGUUAUCCGGAUUUAUUGGGUUUAAAGGGUGCGCAGGCGGCGUGUCAAGCAAGCGGUAAAAUAGCGGGGCUCAACCCCGUCGAGCCGUUUGAACUGGCGCGCUUGAGUUCAGGCGAGGUAGGCGGAAUUCGUGGUGUAGCGGUGAAAUGCAUAGAUAUCACGAAGAACUCCGAUUGCGAAGGCAGCUUACCAGUCUGCGACUGACGCUCAGGCACGAAAGUGUGGGUAUCGAACAGGACUAGAUACCCUGGUAGUCCACACAGUAAACGAUGAGCGCUAGGUGUCCGGGUCGCAUGAGACUUGG
rnacentral:rRNA from 1 species